rnacentral:tRNA from 1 species
UAGCUCAGUUGGCAGAGCACUUGCCUAGAAUGCAGGAGGCUUUAGGUUCAAAUCCCAG